AGUGAACGCUGGCGGUAGGCCUAACACAUGCAAGUCGAACGGCAGCACAGUAAGAGCUUGCUCUUACGGGUGGCGAGUGGCGGACGGGUGAGGAAUCCAUCGGAAUCUACUUUUUCGUGGGGGAUAACGUAGGGAAACUUACGCUAAUACCGCAUACGACCUACGGGUGAAAGCAGGGGAUCUUCGGACCUUGCGCGAUUGAAUGAGCCGAUGUCGGAUUAGCUAGUUGGCGGGGUAAAGGCCCACCAAGGCGACGAUCCGUAGCUGGUCUGAGAGGAUGAUCAGCCACACUGGAACUGCGACACGGUCCAGACUCCUACGGGAGGCAGCAGUGGGGAAUAUUGGACAAUGGGCGCAAGCCUGAUCCAGCCAUACCGCGUGGGUGAAGAAGGCCUUCGGGUUGUAAAGCCCUUUUGUUGGGAAAGAAAAGCAGCAGGUUAAUACCCCGCUGUUCUGACGGUACCAAAAGAAUAAGCACCGGCUAACUUCGUG
rnacentral:rRNA from 1 species